rnacentral:rRNA from 1 species
UGGGGAAUAUUGGACAAUGGGCGCAAGCCUGAUCCAGCCAUGCCGCGUGAGUGAAGAAGGCCUUAGGGUUGUAAAGCUCUUUCACCCGUGAAGAUGAUGACGGUAGCGGGAGAAGAAGCCCCGGCUAACUCCGUGCCAGCAGCCGCGGUAAUACGGAGGGGGCGAGCGUUGUUCGGAAUUACUGGGCGUAAAGGGCGCGUAGGCGGACGAUCAAGUCAGGGGUGAAAGUCCUGGGCUCAACCUGGGGACUGCCUUUGAAACUGAUUGUCUUGAGACCGGGAGAGGAUGGCGGAAUUCCCAGUGUAGAGGUGAAAUUCGUAGAUAUUGGGAAGAACACCGGUGGCGAAGGCGGCCAUCUGGACCGGAUCUGACGCUGAGGCGCGAAAGCGUGGGGAGCAAACAGGAUUAGAUACCCCCGUAGUCC